AUGAAUAAAAUUGGCUCUCUUGACAAUUUCAGAUUCCAUGAGAAAUGUGACACCUUAGAGUUGAAUCAUCUAAGCUUUGCUGAUGAUGUUCUCCUCUUCUAUCAUAGGGAUUACCUGUCGAGUUAUUCCAUGUUGCAAGGAUUACAAUUGUUCUCUAGAAUCUCUGGCCUCUAUCCUAACAAAAAUAAAUCUGAGAUUUAUUGCAGUCGCAUGAAAGAUUCAGACCUGCAAAAAAUCUUGGAUGCUUCAGGAUUCAUCAUGAGUAGGCUUCCUUUCAAGUACUUAGGAUGCCCAUCAAUUCUAAGAGGAUUUCAGCCAAAGAUUACCAAAUCCUGGUGGACAAAAUAA